UACGUAGGGUGCGAGCGUUAAUCGGAAUUACUGGGCGUAAAGCGUGCGCAGGCGGUUCGUUAAGUCAGCUGUGAAAGCCCCGAGCUUAACUUGGGAAUUGCGGUUGAAACUGGCGGACUAGAAUCUGGCAGAGGGGGUGGAAUUCCGCGUGUAGCAGUGAAAUGCGUAGAGAUGCGGAGGAACACCGAUGGCGAAGGCAGCCCCCUGGGCUAACACUGACGCUCAGGCACGAAAGCGUGGGGAGCAAACAGG
rnacentral:rRNA from 1 species